CCUACGGGAGGCUGCAGUAGGGAAUCUUCCACAAUGGGCGAAAGCCUGAUGGAGCAACGCCGCGUGGGUGAAGAAGGUCUUCGGAUCGUAAAACCCUUUUGUUAGAGAAGAAAGUGCGUGAGAGUAACUGUUCACGUUUCGACGGUAUCUAACCAGAAAGCCACGGCUAACUACGUGCCAGCAGCCGCGGUAAUACGUAGGUGGCAAGCGUUAUCCGGAUUUUUUGGGCGUAAAGGGCACGCAGGUGGUCUUUUAAGUCUGAUGUGAAAGCCGUCGGCUUAACCGGAGUAGUGCAUUGGAAACUGGGAGACUUGAGUGCAGAAGAGGAGAGUGGAACUCCAUGUGUAGCGGUGAAAUGCGUAGAUAUAUGGAAGAACACCAGUGGCGAAAGCGGCUCUCUGGUCUGUAACUGACGCUGAGGUUCGAAAGCGUGGGUAGCAAACAGGAUUAGAUACCCUAGUAGUC
rnacentral:rRNA from 1 species